UACAGAGGGUGCGAGCGUUAAUCGGAAUUACUGGGCGUAAAGCGCACGUAGUCGGCUUUGCAAGUCGGGUGUGAAAUCCCCGGGCUCAACCUGGGAACUGCAUCCGAGACUGCAUUGCUAGAGUAUGGGAGAGGGAAGCGGAAUUUCUGGUGUAGCAGUGAAAUGCGUAGAUAUCAGAAGGAACAUCAGUGGCGAAGGCGGCUUCCUGGACCAAUACUGACGAUCAGGUGCGAAAGCUGGGGGAGCAAACAGG
rnacentral:rRNA from 1 species